UUAAGUGACUAAGCGUACACGGUGGAUGCCUAGGCAGUCAGAGGCGAUGAAGGGCGUGCUAAUCUGCGAUAAGCGUCGGUAAGGUGAUAUGAACCGUAAUAACCGGCGAUACCCGAAUGGGGAAACCCAGUGUGUUUCGACACACUAUCAUGUCAUGAAUACAUAGUGGCAUGAGGCGAACCGGGGGAACUGAAACAUCUAAGUACCCCGAGGAAAAGAAAUCAACCGAGAUUCCCCCAGUAGCGGCGAGCGAACGGGGAGGAGCCCAGAACCUGAAUCAGUUCUUGUGUUAGUGGAAGCGUCUGGAAAGUCGCGCAGUAAAGGGUGAUAGCCCCGUACACUAAAAUGCAUUAAUUGUGAGUUCGAUGAGUAGGGCGGGACACGUGACAUCCUGUCUGAAUAUGGGGGGGACCAUCCUCCAAGGCUAAAUACUCCUGACUGACCGAUAGUGAACCAGUACCGUGAGGGAAAGGCGAAAAGAACCCCGGCGAGGGGAGUGAAAUAGAACCUGAAACCGUGUACGUACAAGCAGUGGGAGCACCUUCGUGGUGUGACUGCGUACCUUUUGUAUAAUGGGUCAGCGACUUAUAUUUUGUAGCAAGGUUAACCGAAUAGGGGAGCCGUAGGGAAACCGAGUCUUAACUGGGCGUCUAGUUGCAAGGUAUAGACCCGAAACCCGGUGAUCUAGCCAUGGGCAGGUUGAAGGUUGGGUAACACUAACUGGAGGACCGAACCGACUAAUGUUGAAAAAUUAGCGGAUGACUUGUGGCUGGGGGUGAAAGGCCAAUCAAACCGGGAGAUAGCUGGUUCUCCCCGAAAGCUAUUUAGGUAGCGCCUCGUGAACUCAUCUUCGGGGGUAGAGCACUGUUUCGGCUAGGGGGCCAUCCCGGCUUACCAAACCGAUGCAAACUCCGAAUACCGAAGAAUGUUAUCACGGGAGACACACGGCGGGUGCUAACGUCCGUCGUGAAGAGGGAAACAACCCAGACCGCCAGCUAAGGUCCCAAAGUCAUGGUUAAGUGGGAAACGAUGUGGGAAGGCACAGACAGCCAGGAUGUUGGCUUAGAAGCAGCCAUCAUUUAAAGAAAGCGUAAUAGCUCACUGGUCGAGUCGGCCUGCGCGGAAGAUGUAACGGGGCUAAACCAUGCACCGAAGCUGCGGCAGCGACGCUUAGGCGUUGUUGGGUAGGGGAGCGUUCUGUAAGCCUGUGAAGGUGUACUGUGAGGUAUGCUGGAGGUAUCAGAAGUGCGAAUGCUGACAUAAGUAACGAUAAAGCGGGUGAAAAGCCCGCUCGCCGGAAGACCAAGGGUUCCUGUCCAACGUUAAUCGGGGCAGGGUGAGUCGACCCCUAAGGCGAGGCUGAAAAGCGUAGUCGAUGGGAAACAGGUUAAUAUUCCUGUACUUGGUGUUACUGCGAAGGGGGGACGGAGAAGGCUAGGCUAGCCGGGCGACGGUUGUCCCGGUUUAAGCGUGUAGGAGGGUGUUCCUGGUAAAUCCGGAAUGCCGUUAACUCUGAGGCGUGAUGACGAUGCACUACGGUGCAGAAGUAGUUGAUGCCAAGCUUCCAGGAAAAGCCUCUAAGCAUCAGGUAACACGAAAUCGUACCCCAAACCGACACAGGUGGUCAGGUAGAGAAUACCAAGGCGCUUGAGAGAACUCGGGUGAAGGAACUAGGCAAAAUGGUGCCGUAACUUCGGGAGAAGGCACGCUGGCGCGUAGGUGAAGUCCCUUGCGGAUGGAGCUGAAGCCAGUCGCAGAUACCAGCUGGCUGCAACUGUUUAAUAAAAACACAGCACUGUGCAAACACGAAAGUGGACGUAUACGGUGUGACGCCUGCCCGGUGCCGGAAGGUUAAUUGAUGGGGUCAGCCGCAAGGCGAAGCUCUUGAUCGAAGCCCCGGUAAACGGCGGCCGUAACUAUAACGGUCCUAAGGUAGCGAAAUUCCUUGUCGGGUAAGUUCCGACCUGCACGAAUGGCGUAAUGAUGGCCAGGCUGUCUCCACCCGAGACUCAGUGAAAUUGAACUCGCUGUGAAGAUGCAGUGUACCCGCGGCAAGACGGAAAGACCCCGUGAACCUUUACUAUAGCUUGACACUGAACAUUGAGCCUUGAUGUGUAGGAUAGGUGGGAGGCUUUGAAGCGUGGACGCCAGUCUGCGUGGAGCCAACCUUGAAAUACCACCCUUUAAUGUUUGAUGUUCUAACUCGGCCCCGUAAUCCGGGGUGAGGACAGUGUCUGGUGGGUAGUUUGACUGGGGCGGUCUCCUCCCAAAGAGUAACGGAGGAGCACGAAGGUUAGCUAAUCACGGUCGGACAUCGUGAGGUUAGUGCAAAGGCAUAAGCUAGCUUGACUGCGAGAGUGACGGCUCGAGCAGGUGCGAAAGCAGGUCUUAGUGAUCCGGUGGUUCUGAAUGGAAGGGCCAUCGCUCAACGGAUAAAAGGUACUCCGGGGAUAACAGGCUGAUACCGCCCAAGAGUUCAUAUCGACGGCGGUGUUUGGCACCUCGAUGUCGGCUCAUCACAUCCUGGGGCUGAAGUAGGUCCCAAGGGUAUGGCUGUUCGCCAUUUAAAGUGGUACGCGAGCUGGGUUUAGAACGUCGUGAGACAGUUCGGUCCCUAUCUGCCGUGGGCGUUGGAAGAUUGAGAGGGGUUGCUCCUAGUACGAGAGGACCGGAGUGAACGCACCACUGGUGUUCGGGUUGUCAUGCCAAUGGCACUGCCCGGUAGCUAAGUGCGGAAAAGAUAAGCGCUGAAAGCAUCUAAGCGCGAAACUUGCCUCGAGAUGAGUCUUCCCUGGGCCUUUAAGGCCCCUGAAGGAACGUUUAAGACUAAGACGUUGAUAGGCUGGGUGUGUAAGUGCAGCGAUGCAUUGAGCUAACCAGUACUAAUGAUCCGUGAGGCUUAACCUU
rnacentral:rRNA from 1 species